rfam:Nematostella vectensis strain CH2 x CH6 NEMVEscaffold_9642_Cont56256, whole genome shotgun sequence.
GAAGUGAUAGUAUAGUGGUUAGUACAUUGCUUUGUGGCCCCAAUAACCCAGGUUCGAAUCCUGUUCACGGCA